AUGGAAAUGGGAGAAAAGAAGAGAGAAACUUGUCAAAAGGGAUCCUCAAGUAAAGAUUGGAUGAGCACAUCUCAAUCAAUAGAAAACAUUCUAGUUUCAGGUCUUUUAGAACUCCUCCAAUCCAUUACCUAUACUAGAAGAAGACAGAAGCCUCCUCAACAAAAUCAGGAAUGAAGCAAGGAUGCCCAUUAUCACUAAUAUUAUUUAAUAGAGUAUUAGAAAUGUUAGCAAUAGUAAUAAGAUGAAAAAGAAAUUAAAGGAAUCAGAAUGGGCAGAGAGAUGAUAAA
rnacentral:lncRNA from 1 species